rnacentral:rRNA from 1 species
GAUGAACGCUAGCGGCAGGCUUAAUACAUGCAAGUCGAGGGGCAGCAGGGUGUAGCAAUACAUCGCUGGCGACCGGCAAACGGGUGCGGAACACGUACACAACUUUCCUUUAAGUGGGGAUAGCCCAGAGAAAUUUGGAUUAAUACCCCGUAAUAUUAUGAAGUGGCAUCAUUUUAUAAUUAUAGCUCCGGCGCUUGAAGAUGGGUGUGCGGCUGAUUAGGUAGNGGCGGGGUAACGGCCCACCAAGCCUACGAUCAGUAACUGGUGUGAGAGCACGACCAGUCACACGGGCACUGAGACACGGGCCCGACUCCUACGGGAGGCAGCAGUAAGGAAUAUUGGUCAAUGGACGCAAGUCUGAACCAGCCAUGCCGCGUGAAGGAUGAAGGUCCUCUGGAUU